AGAGUUUGAUCCUGGCUCAGAGCGAACGCUGGCGGCAGGCCUAACACAUGCAAGUCGAGCGCCGUAGCAAUACGGAGCGGCAGACGGGAGAGUAACACGUGGGAACGUGCCCUUUGGUUCGGAACAACACAGGGAAACUUGUGCUAAUACCGGAUAAGCCCUUACGGGGAAAGAUUUAUCGCCAAAGGAUCGGCCCGCGUCUGAUUAGCUUGUUGGUGAGGUAACGGCUCACCAAGGCGACGAUCAGUAGCUGGUCUGAGAGGAUGAUCAGCCACACUGGGACUGAGACACGGCCCAGACUCCUACGGGAGGCAGCAGUUGGGAAUCUUGGACAAUGGGGGAAACCCUGAUCCAGCCAUGCCGCGUGAGUGAUGAAGGCCUUCGGGUUGUAAAACUCUUCG
rnacentral:rRNA from 1 species